UACGGAGGGUGCAAGCGUUGUCCGGAAUCACUGGGCGUAAAGGGCGCGUAGGCGGCCUGGUAAGUAGGGGUGAAUCCUGCGGCUUAACCGCAGGCUGCCUUCUAAACUGUCAGGCUUGAGCACGGUAGAGGCAGAUGGAAUUCCCGGUGUAGCGGUGGAAUGCGUAGAGAUCGGGAAGAACAUCAGUGGCGAAGGCGGUCUGCUGGGCCGUGCUGACGCUGAGGCGCGACAGCGUGGGAGCAACAGG
rnacentral:rRNA from 1 species